GACGAAGGGGGCUAGCGUUGUUCGGAAUUACUGGGCGUAAAGCGCGCGUAGGCGGUUCUUCAAGUCAGGCGUGAAAGCCCCCGGGCUUAACCCGGGAAUAGCGCUUGAUACUGUGGGACUUGAGUCCGGGAGAGGAUAGUGGAAUUCCCAGUGUAGAGGUGAAAUUCGUAGAUAUUGGGAAGAACACCAGUGGCGAAGGCGGCUAUCUGGACCGGUACUGACGCUGAGGCGCGAAAGCGUGGGGAGCAAACAGG
rnacentral:rRNA from 1 species